rnacentral:rRNA from 1 species
CAGCCGCCGCGGUAAUACGUAGGGUGCGAGCGUUAAUCGGAAUUACUGGGCGUAAAGCGUGCGCAGGCGGUUCGUUAAGACAGAUGUGAAAUCCCCGGGCUUAACCUGGGAACUGCAUUUGUGACUGGCGAGCUAGAGUAUGGCAGAGGGGGGUAGAAUUCCACGUGUAGCAGUGAAAUGCGUAGAGAUGUGGAGGAAUACCGAUGGCGAAGGCAGCCCCCUGGGCCAAUACUGACGCUCAUGCACGAAAGCGUGGGGAGCAAACAGGAUUAGAUACCCGCGUAGUCCCUGUCUCUUAUAA